GGAAUCUGGGAGGACCAUCUCCUAAGGCUAAAUACUCUCUAGUGACCGAUAGUGAACCAGUACCGUGAGGGAAAGGUGAAAAGCACCCCGGAAGGGGAGUGAAAUAGAACCUGAAACCGUGUGCUUACAAGUAGUCAGAGCCCGUUAAUGGGUGAUGGCGUGCCUUUUGUAGAAUGAACCGGCGAGUUACGAUUUGAUGCAAGGUUAAGCAGUAAAUGUGGAGCCGUAGCGAAAGCGAGUCUGAAUAGGGCGUUUAGUAUUUGGUCGUAGACCCGAAACCAGGUGAUCUACCCUUGGUCAGGUUGAAGUUCAGGUAACACUGAAUGGAGGACCGAACCGACUUACGUUGAAAAGUGAGCGGAUGAACUGAGGGUAGCGGAGAAAUUCCAAUCGAACCUGGAGAUAGCUGGUUCUCUCCGAAAUAGCUUUAGGGCUAGCCUCAAGUGAUGAUUAUUGGAGGUAGAGCACUGUUUGGACGAGGGGCCCCUCUCGGGUUACCGAAUUCAGACAAACUCCGAAUGCCAAUUAAUUUAACUUGGGAGUCAGAACAUGGGUGAUAAGGUCCGUGUUCGAAAGGGAAACAGCCCAGACCACCAGCUAAGGUCCCAAAAUAUAUGUUAAGUGGAAAAGGAUGUGGCGUUGCCCAGACAACUAGGAUGUUGGCUUAGAAGCAGCCAUCAUUUAAAGAGUGCGUAAUAGCUCACUAGUCGAGUGACACUGCGCCGAAAAUGUACCGGGGCUAAACAUAUUACCGAAGCUGUGGAUUGUCCUUUGGACAAUGGUAGGAGAGCGUUCUAAGGGCGUUGAAGCAUGAUCGUAAGGACAUGUGGAGCGCUUAGAAGUGAGAAUGCCGGUGUGAGUAGCGAAAGACGGGUGAGAAUCCCGUCCACCGAUUGACUAAGGUUUCCAGAGGAAGGCUCGUCCGCUCUGGGUUAGUCGGGUCCUAAGCUGAGGCCGACAGGCGUAGGCGAUGGAUAACAGGUUGAUAUUCCUGUACCACCUAUAAUCGUUUUAAUCGAUGGGGGGACGCAGUAGGAUAGGCGAAGCGUGCGAUUGGAUUGCACGUCUAAGCAGUAAGGCUGAGUAUUAGGCAAAUCCGGUACUCGUUAAGGCUGAGCUGUGAUGGGGAGAAGACAUUGUGUCUUCGAGUCGUUGAUUUCACACUGCCGAGAAAAGCCUCUAGAUAGAAAAUAGGUGCCCGUACCGCAAACCGACACAGGUAGUCAAGAUGAGAAUUCUAAGGUGAGCGAGCGAACUCUCGUUAAGGAACUCGGCAAAAUGACCCCGUAACUUCGGGAGAAGGGGUGCUCUUUAGGGUUAACGCCCAGAAGAGCCGCAGUGAAUAGGCCCAAGCGACUGUUUAUCAAAAACACAGGUCUCUGCUAAACCGUAAGGUGAUGUAUAGGGGCUGACGCCUGCCCGGUGCUGGAAGGUUAAGAGGAGUGGUUAGCUUCUGCGAAGCUACGAAUCGAAGCCCCAGUAAACGGCGGCCGUAACUAUAACGGUCCUAAGGUAGCGAAAUUCCUUGUCGGGUAAGUUCCGACCCGCACGAAAGGCGUAACGAUUUGGGCACUGUCUCAACGAGAGACUCGGUGAAAUCAUAGUACCUGUGAAGAUGCAGGUUACCCGCGACAGGACGGAAAGACCCCGUGGAGCUUUACUGUAGCCUGAUAUUGAAAUUCGGCACAGCUUGUACAGGAUAGGUAGGAGCCUUUGAAACGUGAGCGCUAGCUUACGUGGAGGCGCUGGUGGGAUACUACCCUAGCUGUGUUGGCUUUCUAACCCGCACCACUUAUCGUGGUGGGAGACAGUGUCAAGCGGGCAGUUUGACUGGGGCGGUCGCCUCCUAAAAGGUAACGGAGGCGCUCAAAGGUUCCCUCAGAAUGGUUGGAAAUCAUUCAUAGAGUGUAAAGGCAUAAGGGAGCUUGACUGCGAGACCUACAAGUCGAGCAGGGUCGAAAGACGGACUUAGUGAUCCGGUGGUUCCGCAUGGAAGGGCCAUCGCUCAACGGAUAAAAGCUACCCCGGGGAUAACAGGCUUAUCUCCCCCAAGAGUUCACAUCGACGGGGAGGUUUGGCACCUCGAUGUCGGCUCAUCGCAUCCUGGGGCUGUAGUCGGUCCCAAGGGUUGGGCUGUUCGCCCAUUAAAGCGGUACGCGAGCUGGGUUCAGAACGUCGUGAGACAGUUCGGUCCCUAUCCGUCGUGGGCGUAGGAAAUUUGAGAGGAGCUGUCCUUAGUACGAGAGGACCGGGAUGGACAUACCUCUGGUGUACCAGUUGUCGUGCCAACGGCAUAGCUGGGUAGCUAUGUGUGGACGGGAUAAGUGCUGAAAGCAUCUAAGCAUGAAGCCCCCCUCAAGAUGAGAUUUCCCAACUUCGGUUAUAAGAUCCCUCAAAGAUGAUGAGGUUAAUAGGUUCGAGGUGGAAGCAUGGUGACAUGUGGAGCUGACGAAUACUAAUCGAUCGAAGACUUAAUCAA
rnacentral:rRNA from 1 species